rnacentral:rRNA from 1 species
UACGUAGGGUGCGAGCGUUGUCCGGAAUUAUUGGGCGUAAAGAGCUUGUAGGCGGUUUGUCGCGUCGGCUGUGAAAACCCGGAGCUCAACUCCGGGCCUGCAGUCGAUACGGGCAGACUGGAGUUCGGCAGGGGAGACUGGAAUUCCUGGUGUAGCGGUGAAAUGCGCAGAUAUCAGGAGGAACACCGGUGGCGAAGGCGGGUCUCUGGGCCGAUACUGACGCUGAGGAGCGAAAGCGUGGGGAGCGAACAGG